rnacentral:rRNA from 1 species
UGGGGAAUAUUGCACAAUGGGCGCAAGCCUGAUGCAGCAACGCCGCGUGAACGAUGAAGGUCUUCGGAUCGUAAAGUUCUGUUGCAGGGGAAGAUAAUGACGGUACCCUGUGAGGAAGCCCCGGCUAACUACGUGCCAGCAGCCGCGGUAAUACGUAGGGGGCUAGCGUUAUCCGGAUUUACUGGGCGUAAAGGGUGCGUAGGUGGUCUUUCAAGUCGGUGGUUAAAGGCUACGGCUCAACCGUAGUUAGCCUCCGAAACUGGAAGACUUGAGUGCAGGAGAGGAAAGUGGAAUUCCUAGUGUAGCGAUGAAAUGCGUAGAGAUUAGGAGGAACACCGGUGGCGAAAGCGGCUUUUUGGCCUGCAACUGACACUGAGGCGCGAAAGCGUGGGGAGCAAACAGG